CAGUAGCCGCGGGAAUACGAAGGGGGCUAGCGUUGUUCGGAAUUACUGGGCGUAAAGCGCACGUAGGCGGAUAUUUAAGUCAGGGGUGAAAUCCCAGAGCUCAACUCUGGAACUGCCUUUGAUACUGGGUAUCUUGAGUAUGGAAGAGGUGAGUGGAAUUCCGAGUGUAGAGGUGAAAUUCGUAGAUAUUCGGAGGAACACCAGUGGCGAAGGCGGCUCACUGGUCCAUUACUGACGCUGAGGUGCGAAAGCGUGGGGAGCAAACAGGAUUAGAUACCCGGGUAGUCCCUGUCUCUUAUAC
rnacentral:rRNA from 1 species